CAGUAGCCGCGGUAAUACGGAGGGGGCUAGCGUUGUUCGGAAUUACUGGGCGUAAAGGGCGCGUAGGCGGGUUUUUAAGUCAGAGGUGAAAUCCCAAGGCUCAACCUUGGAACUGCCUUUGAUACUGGAAGUCUUGAGUCCGGGAGAGGUGAGUGGAACUGCGAGUGUAGAGGUGAAAUUCGUAGAUAUUCGCAAGAACACCAGCGGCGAAGGCGGCUCACUGGCCCGGUACUGACGCUGAGGCGCGAAAGCGUGGGGAGCAAACAGGAUUAGAUACCCAGUAGUCCCUGUCUCUUAUACA
rnacentral:rRNA from 1 species